GACUAAGCCAUGCGAGUCAACGCCGCAAGGCGUGGCAUACGGCUCAGUAACACGUAGUCAACAUGCCCAAAGGACGUGGAUAACCUCGGGAAACUGAGGAUAAACCGCGAUAGGCCAAGGUUUCUGGAAUGAGCCAUGGCCGAAAUCUAUAUGGCCUUUGGAUUGGACUGCGGCCGAUCAGGCUGUUGGUGAGGUAAUGGCCCACCAAACCUGUAACCGGUACGGGCUUUGAGAGAAGGAGCCCGGAGAUGGGCACUGAGACAAGGGCCCAGGCCCUAUGGGGCGCAGCAGGCGCGAAACCUCUGCAAUAGGCGAAAGCUUGACAGGGUUACUCUGAGUGAUGCCCGCUAAGGGUAUCUUUUGGCACCUCUAAAAAUGGUGCAGAAUA
rnacentral:rRNA from 1 species